rnacentral:rRNA from 1 species
GACGAACGCUGGCGGCGUGCUUAACACAUGCAAGUCGAACGGAAAGGCCCUGCUUGCAGGGUACUCGAGUGGCGAACGGGUGAGUAACACGUGGGUGAUCUGCCCUGCACUUCGGGAUAAGCCUGGGAAACUGGGUCUAAUACCGGAUAGGAGCCAUUUUUAGUGUGAUGGUUGGAAAGUUUUUUCGGUGUAGGAUGAGCUCGCGGCCUAUCAGCUUGUUGGUGGGGUAAUGGCCUACCAAGGCGGCGACGGGUAGCCGGCCUGAGAGGGUGGACGGCCACAUUGGGGCUGAGAUACGGCCCAGACUCCUACUGGAGGCAGCAGUGGGGAAUAUUGCACAAUGGGCGCAAGCCUGAUGCAGCGACGCCGCGUGGGGGAUGACGGCCUUCGGGUUGUAAACUCCUUUCGCUAGGGACGAAGCUUUUUGUGACGGUACCUAGAUAAGAAGCACCGGCUAACUACGUG